GUUAGGUAUUUAUAUUGCUUUAAGAAUGGUC
rnacentral:piRNA from 1 species